GAUGAACGCUGGCGGUGUGCCUAACACAUGCAAGUCGAACGGCAACACCCUGCUUUCUUGCGCUUCCCGAUUGCCAAUCGCGUAAGUAUCACGUGUACAUCCUGCUCUUCUCUUUCGUAUAGCGUCAGGAAACUGGACUUACUCUCAUACCGCAUCCCCCCUUCCAUUGAGGGCGUGGGAUCUUCUCGGCGGUUGCGGUUGGAUUCGCGGCUUACCAGCUUGCUGGUGGGGUAGUGGCUUACCCAGGCUUUGGCGGGUAGCCGGCUUGAGAGGGUGGCCGGCCACAUUGGGACUGAGAUACGGCCCAGACUCCUACGGGAGGCAGCAGUGGGAAAUAUUGCACAAUGGGCGGAAGCCUGAUGCAGAAACGCCGCGUGCGGGAUGACGGCCUUCGGGUUGUAAACCGCUUUCGCCUGUGACGAAGCGUGAGUGACGGUAAUGGGUAAAGAAGCACCGGCUAACUACGUG
rnacentral:rRNA from 1 species